UACAGAGGGUGCAAGCGUUGUUCGGAAUUACUGGGCGUAAAGCGCGUGUAGGCGGUUUGGUAAGUUCUGUGUGAAAGCCCUGGGCUCAACCCAGGAAGUGCGCAGAAUACUGCCUGACUGGAGUGACGGAGAGGAUGGCGGAAUUCCCGGUGUAGAGGUGAAAUUCGUAGAUAUCGGGAGGAACACCUGUGGCGAAGGCGGCCAUCUGGACGUCAACUGACGCUGAGACGCGAAAGCAUGGGGAGCAAACAGG
rnacentral:rRNA from 1 species